UACAGAGGGUGCUAGCGUUAAUCGGAAUUACUGGGCGUAAAGGGUGUGUAGGUGGUUAGAUAAGUCAGAUGUAAAAGCCCUGGGCUCAACCUAGGAAUGUCGUUUGAAACUGUUUAGCUAGAGUACUAUAGAGGGCAGUGGAAUUUCCGGUGUAGCGGUGAAAUGCGUAGAUAUCGGAAGGAACAUCAGUGGCGAAGGCGACUGCCUGGAUAGUUACUGACACUGAGACACGAAAGCAUGGGUAGCAAACAGG
rnacentral:rRNA from 1 species